rnacentral:rRNA from 1 species
UACGUAGGUGGCAAGCGUUGUCCGGAUUUAUUGGGUUUAAAGGGUGCGUAGGCGGCUUUGUAAGUCAGUGGUGAAAUAUGGCAGCUCAACUGUCAAGGUGCCAUUGAUACUGCGGAGCUUGAGUACAGAUGAGGUAGGCGGAAUUGACGGUGUAGCGGUGAAAUGCUUAGAUAUCGUAAGGAAGACCAGUGGCGAAGGCGGGUCUCUGGACAGUUCCUGACGCUGAGGCACGAAAGCGUGGGGAGCAAAAGGG